rnacentral:ribozyme from 1 species
UAAAAAAAAGGUUCUGUAAAAGGGAUGGAUCCGACGCCCCUAGGAGGCUACUAUAGGCUCCCCUUCUCAACUCCUACUCAAUACGUCCACGACGUGCAGAACGGUAACUUGUCGCCUAGAUCCAAGCUUGGGUACACGGGGAAAGCCACCCCCUUGGGCGGAUGGGCGGCAAGGCUGAAUUGAGAAGG